UACGUAGGGGGCAAGCGUUAUCCGGAUUUACUGGGUGUAAAGGGGGCGCAGACGGCGAUGCAAGCCAGAUGUGAAAGCCCGGGGCUCAACCCCGGGACUGCAUUUGGAACUGUGUGGCUAGAGUGUCGGAGAGGCAGGCGGAAUUCCUAGUGUAGCGGUGAAAUGCGUAGAUAUUAGGAGGAACACCAGUGGCGAAGGCGGCCUGCUGGACGAUGACUGACGUUGAGGCUCGAAAGCGUGGGGAGCAAACAGG
rnacentral:rRNA from 1 species